AAUAAAAAUGUUUUCUUCUGGAUUCACAAGCCCGAAUUCCAUACCCGGCCGCAGAUAAAAAUUUAUUAUAUUAUACAAAAGUACAAUACGUAUUACAUAAGUACAAAAAUGUCUUUUUUAACAUUAGUUAUUCGUUAUGCUUGAUGGGGGAAAGUGCUGAUAUAAUAAUAAGAAUAAUGAUCCAGAUGCUUAAAUUCACCUUAAUAAAUCACGUCACGAGAAAACAAGAUGUAAGUGCUUAUUGAUCGUACUUGUUUUAUGAUUGUCUUAUAGCUAUAUCUAUAUAACAAUCAAGUUAUGCCGGACACUACUAGUUUCGCUAGUAGCGACACAUAGAACUAAUAUAUAGUGCGUAAAUCAGAGUCAGAGUCAGUCGUGUUGCGACAGCCGGAGAAAGCAGUUUUCUAUUAGUCAUUAUACUUUUUAUUAUAUUUUAUGUAUUAAUUCUUUCCUAAUAAAAGUCUAAUAAAUUUUUUAAAUUGUGAUGUCAAAACAAGAAGUUACACUCGUGUUUAGAAGAUCUAAUAAUUUUAUGGCAAUACAGUUCGAUAUAUAAUAUAUAUAAAUGGCAUAAAAGCGAUUGGAACAAUGUAAUCACUACUUGAGUUGUUAGAAUAUUGCAAAGUGAAUUGUGUGGUAUAUUGAUAGUCCGUUAAUCAUAAAAAGAGCAUGGAUAUUUGAAAAAUACUGGUUAAACAUUUAUGAAUAUGAGGAGUAAAGAAGAUGAUGAAGCAACAUUCAAGGAACUUUGACAAACCAAGAAGAAAGAAAAGUAAAUAAAUUAGAUCUACGAGCGAACAGCAAUAGACGUAAAUAACAUUAAACUACAAAGACAAUCAAUAUGAAAUCAGCCUAAGAUAUAUAGUGACAAAAACUGAGAGUACACAAGUAUGGCCGAAAUUGAAAGAAGAUGGUCUCUUCAUUGGAACAACGUCUCUAAUGUUAAGAUCAAUCGAUAUAUUCGCGAUGUAUAAUUUUAUACCAAGUCCCCGAGCUGUAUUGUUCUGGGGUUAUAUUGUCUAUAAAUAUACUUUUAUAACUACUGAUUGCUUCAAUUGUCUUAAUCACAUCUUGUGAUAUCAUAGUAGACUAGGUUUGUUUCUGUAAUAUAUUAGUUGCUUAAAAGAAACAUAUCUUAAUAUUACGUAGCUUCUGAAUAUGGGGAGUAAAGGAAGAAGUUAUGGAAUAUUCCGCGGAUACAUUGAGCAGAAAAAAAUGUAAACAAAUUAAAUUUAUAAAAGAGUAACUGAUAUCAAUAACAUUAAAGGACAGCGAUGGUCAAUAGAAAGGCAUUGUUGGUAAAAUGUAAUGACAAAGACAAAGAUACGACCAAUAACAACAGAGAGAACAAUACUUUGAGUAAAAAAAUGAAAUCAAUAACAUUAAAGGACAACGAUGAUCAAUAGAAAAACAGUGUUGAUAAAAAAAGUAAUGACAAAGAUAAAGAUACGACCAAUAACAACAGAGAGAACAAUACUGAAAACGCAGUUGAGGCACAAAAUUUUUAAGAGAUAAAAAAAUAUUAUGCAAAUUCGAUCGGAUUAGUAGAUCUCGAUCUGGAACGAUUUAUUGAAAAUUGCGACGAAUAUACGAUUUCUGUAUGAGAGGCCCGAUACAGCAUUGAAUCAUUAUGAAUUUGUAGAAUAUAGAAAAGUGACAAUACGGUCAUGCUAUUGUUUCCUCCUGAGUCCAAGGUUAUUUGCGUAAAGGCACACAAGAAAAAUAAGAUAUAUAUAAGAGUAUUAUUAUAAGUUACAUGCUCGCACAAAAGCAGGCAAGGAAACGAAUGAAUAGAUUGUAAACAGUGACAAAAAACAUACGAUUCUAAAAUUAUUUUUAUCCUCUAUCGGACCUCUAACAAGUUACUAUGCGAGCAAUCAUUUCUUAAUAAAAAGCGUGACAUCCAUGAAAUAGGACUGAUAUAACAGGAACGUGUUGAAAAUAUAAAUGUCAUUUAAUUAGUAAGUCCACAUAACCGAAGAGUAAUUUACGCUUUUAAUAUAAUCAAAUAUGUCAAAUAUUAUGUGAAUGUUUGUAGAACGGGAAUAGAUGUAUCUAGAAAAAAAUUUCGAAGAAUUAAUAAGAUUCGAAUACGGCAAAUAAGAUAUUAAUAAGAAAAUCUGAGUACAAACCGAAUAACAACAAUCAAUCUCUAGAUAUUUACUAACAACGGAUGAUAAAAUCAUGAUGAUCAUACCUUUAUUAAAUAUUAACAGCGAAGAUUUCAUAAUCCACGAAGAGACAGAUAUUAAUCGGGGAUGACCAAUAAUACUUAAUGAGAAAUGAAAAGAUAACAAAGAACUCAUUACAUUGAGAGAUAGAUUCGAUAUCCACAUUACAUUAUGAGAUGUUUUACAUCAGGAAUGACAACAAGAGCAGGAAAUAAUGCAACUGAUGGAAGCUGACAUAACCGAACAAAAUGAUCCUCCAUUUUCCAAUCCUAUGAUGGUCAAUAAAAAGAUAGGCGACAUAUAAAUGUCUAUAAAUUACUAGACCGUAACUCGUACAAUUGUUAAACAACUCUUGGGAAGAAGUAGAAAAUCAAUUGGACAGACUG